CCUACGGGUGGCAGCAGUGGGGAAUAUUGCACAAUGGGGGAAACCCUGAUGCAGCGACGCCGCGUGAGUGAAGAAGUAAUUCGUUACGUAAAGCUCUAUCAGCAGGGAAGCAACACUGACCUUACGGUCAGCAGACGGUACCUGAGUAAGAAGCCCCGGCUCACUACGUGCCAGCAGCCGCGGUAAUACGUAGGGGGCAAGCGUUAUACGGAUUUACUGGGUGUAAAGGGAGCGUAGACGGUGGGCCAAGUCCGGAGUGAAAAGCCGCAGCUUAACGGCGGAACGGCUUUGGAAACUGGGGAACUAGAGUGCGGGAGGGGUAAGCGGAAUGCCUAGUGUAGCGGUGAAAUGCGUAGAUAUUAGGAGGAACACCGGUGGCGAAGGCGGCUUACUGGACCGUAACUGACGUUGAGGCUCGAAAGCGUGGGGAGCGAACAGGAUUAGAUACCCGAGUAGUC
rnacentral:rRNA from 1 species